GUGCAACUACUAGUGGUUUGUCCUCACCAAUUUGUAUUUGAGGUUUAUGGGGAUACUUUGACACUUAGUUUUGUUGAAAAUGUUAAGAUGCUGUAUUAAAUUAUACUUUUUAUUUUGAUAUAAUUGUUGAUUCACAGACACUUUUAAGAAAUGUUACAGAGAUAUCUCAUGUACAUUUUACCCAGUUUCCCCCAAGGAUAACAUCUUGUAAACUACAGUAAAUUAUCACAGUCUGGAUAUUGACAUUGAUAUAAUUAAAAUAAAGAACACUUUCAUCACUAUAAUAUCCCUCAUUUUGCCCUUUUGUAGCCACAGCCACUUCCCUCCCAUUUCCACUUCUUCAUUAACACAGCAAUUAUUAAUUUCCAUCUCUAUAGUUUUGGCAUUCCAGGAGUGUUAUGUAAGUGGAAUCAUUUAGUAGACAACAUUUUGCAAUUUUUUUUUUCACUCAGCAUAAUUCCCUGGUGAUUCAUCCAGGUCGUGGUGCCUGUAUCCAGUUUGUUCGUUUUUAUUGCUAAGUAGUAUUUCCUAGUAUGGAUAUACCACAGUUUGUUUCCAGUUUUUGUCUGAAUAAAGCUGCUAUGAGCAUACAUGUGCAGAUUUUUCUCUGAACAUAAGUCUUCAUUUCUCUGGGAUAAAUGCUCAGGAGUGCAAUUGCUGGGUUGUAUGGUGGUUGCAUGUUUUGCUUUUAAAGAAAAUGCCAAACUAUUUUCCAGUGUGGCUGUACUAUAUUACAUUCCCAGCAGCCAAAUGUGAGUGAUCUAUUUUCUCUGCAUCCUCACCAGGAUUUGGUAUUGUGCCUACUUUUUAUUUUUAGCCAUCAUGAUAGGUAUAUAGUAAUAUCUUAUUGUGGUUUUAAUUUGUAAUUCUCUAAUGGCUAAUGACAUUGCACAUGUUUUCAUGUCCUUAUUUUGUAUCUAUGUAUCCUUUUUGGUUCCAUAUGCAUUUUAAAAUAGUUUUUACUAGUUCUGUGAAGCAUCUCAAUUGUAGUUUAAUAGGAAUAACAUUGAAUUAUAAAUUGCUUUGGGCAGUAUGGCCAUUUUGAUGAUAUUGUUUCUUCCUAUCCAUGAGCAUGCAAUGUUUUUCCAUUUGUUUGUGUCAUUUCUGAUUUCAUUGAGCAGUGCUUUUUAGUUCUUCUUGUGGAGAUCUUUCACCUCCCUGGUUAGCUGUAUUCCUAGGUAUUUUAUUCUGUUUGUGGCAAUUGUGAAUAGGACUGCAUUCCUGAUUUUGCUCUAGGCUUGACUGUUGUUGGUGUAUAGAAAUAUUAGUAAUUUUUGCACAUUGAUUUUGUAUCCUGAGACCUUGCUGAAGUUGUUUAUCAACUUAAGAAGUUUUUGGGCUGAGACGAUAGGGUUUUCUAGAUAUAUGAUCAUGUCAUCUGCAAACAGGAAUACUUUGACUUCCUCUUUUCCUAUUUGGCUGCUCUUUAUUCUUUUCUCUUGCCUGAUUGCCCUGGCAAGGACUUCCAGUACUAUGUUGAAUAGGAGUAAUGAGAGGGGGCAUUCUUGUCUUCUGCCAGUUUUCAAGGGGAAUGCUUCCAGGUUUUGCCCAUUCAGUAUGAUGUUGGCUGCGGGUUUGUCAUAGAUGGCUCUUACUAUUUUGACGUAUGUUCCUUCAAUAACUAGUUUAUCAAGAGUUUUUAACAUGAAGGAGUGUUGAAUUUUAUCAGAAGACUUUUCUGCAUCUAUUGAGAUAAUCAUGUGGGUUUUGUCUUUAGUUCUGUUUAUGUGAUGAAUCACAUUUACUGAUUUUUAUAUGUUGAACAAACCUCAUAUCCCAGGGAUAAAGCCUACUUGAUCAUGGUAGAUUGGCUUUUGGAUGUGCUGCUGGAUUCGGUUUGCUGGUAUUUUGUUGAGGAUUUUUUGCAUCAAUGUUUAUCAAGGAUAUUGGCCUGAAGCUUUCUUCUUUUGUUGUGUCUCUGCCAGGUUUUGGUAUUUAGAUGAUGCUAGCUUCAUAGAAUGAGUUAGGUAGGAGUCUCUUCUCCUCAAUUUUUUGAAAUAGUUUCAGCAGGAAUGGUACCAUUUCUUCUUUGUACACCUGAUAGAAUUCAGCUGUGAAUCCAUUUGGUCCUGGGUUUUGUUUUGUUUUGUUUUGUUUUGUUUUGGUAGGCUAUUUACUACUGACUCAAUUUCAGAGCUCAUUAUUAGUCUGUUCAUAGAUUCAAUUUCUUCCUAGUUCAGUCUUAGGGGGUGUAUGUGCCCAGGAAUUUAUCCAUUUCUUCUAGAUUUUCUACUUUAUGUCAUAGAAGUAUUCAUAAUAUUCUCUGAUGGUUGUCUGUAUUUCUGUGGGGUCAGUGGUAAUACCUCCUUUGUCAUUCCUAAUUGUGUUUAUUUGAAUCCUUCUCUCUUUUCUUCUUUAUUAGUCUAGCUAGAAGUCCAUCUAUUUUAUUAAUUAUUUCAUAAAACCAGCUCCUGGAUUCAUUGAUCUUUUGAAUCAUUUUUGUGUCUCAAUCUCCUUCCAUUCAGUUCUGGAUUUUGGUUAUUUCUUGUCUUCUGCUAGCCUUGAGAUUGGUUGGCUGUGAUACUCUAGUUCUUUUAGUUAUUAUGUUAGGUUGUUAAAUUGAGAUCUUUCUAAGUUUUUGAUGUUGGCAUUUAGUGCUAUAAAUUUCCUUCUUAACACUGCUUUAGUUGUGUCCCAGAGCUUCUAAUGUGUUGUAUCUUUGUUCUCACUCAUGUCAAAGAGUUUCUUGAUUUCUGCCUGAAUUUCAUUAUUUUCCCAAAAGUCAUUCAGGAGCAGGUUAUUUAAUUUCCAUGUAAUUGUACGGUUUUGAGUGAACUUUUUUGUCUUGGUUUCUAAUUUGAUUGUGCUGUGGUCCAAGAGAUUUUUUCUUAUGAUCAGUUCUUUUGCAUUUGCUGAGGAGUGUUUUACUUCUAAUUAUGUGAUCGAUUUUAGAGUAUGUGCCAUGUGACAAUGAGAAAAAUGUAUAUUCUGUCUUUUUGGGGUGGAAAGUUCUAUAAGAUGUCUAUCAGGUUCAUUUGAUCCAGAGCUGAGUUCAGGUCCUGGGUAUCUUUGUUAAUUUUCUGUCUUGAUGAUCUGUCUAACAUUGUCAAUGUGGUGUCAAAGUCUCCCACUAUCAUUGUGUGGGAGUCUAAGUCUCUUUGAAGGUCGUUAAGAACUUGCUUUAUGAAUCUGGGUGCUCCUCUUUUGGAGGUAUAUAUUUUUAGAAUACUUAGAUCUUUUGUCGAAUUGAACCAUUUACCAUUAUGUAAUGCCCUUCUUCAUCUUUUUUGAUCUUUGUUGGUUUAAAGUCUGUUUUGUCUGAAACUAGUAUUGCAACCCCUGCUUUUUUCUG
rnacentral:lncRNA from 1 species